GGUUGGGAAGAAGACACUGCCUGAGUUACUCAUGCUGUAACAUGAAACUUUGUUUUCCAAUUCGGAGUUAAUUCAGGAAGCAACAGAAAAGCAUGCUAUUAUCUUUUUAAGUACAUUCAAGAGAAGCCCUGCACACAAGGGUAUGUGUUCAUAUUCCUCAUGCUGGUAUAUAUGCUAUCCUCAAAACUUCAUGCCAACCAGCCAUUUGAUACCCUCCAAACACCUUGGAGAGUCAAGACAUCUUUAUUUGCUUAGAAAGGAUAUGGGAAAAUACACCAACCCCUGUACUGAGAAUUUACCAUCUACCAGAAGUACAUUGUAUUCUAUUGAGGGUGACCUGCAGGCCUUUCUGGAAGAGAAGGUAGAAGACAAGGGAAAACAAGAAUUUAUUAGUUAUGCAAAGAAUCCUUUCCUCCAAGGAUGAACAUUCUACAGGCAGGAGAAAAGAAUCCAUGGGGACCUGGGCAGAUUGAAACAGCUGUACACUGAGGAGGUUCAUGCUGGGAGAAGACAUUUCCUUUAAAGUGUUUCUGCAUCUUCAAAGCACAACAUUGAAAAAGGCCAAAUGAUGUUCCCUCUGCUGAAUAAAGCUGGGACAGCUGCUUUAACCUCA
rnacentral:lncRNA from 1 species